rnacentral:rRNA from 1 species
GAUGAACGCUAGCUACAGGCUUAACACAUGCAAGUCGAGGGACCGGCGCACGGGUGAGUAACGCGUAUCCAACCUUCCCAAUACUCAGGCAUAAUCCGUUGAAAGACGGACUCAUUCCAGAUGGUAUUGGAUGGGGAUGCGUCUGAUUAGUUUGUUGGUGAGGUAACGGCUCACAAAGACUUCGAUCAGUAGGGGUGCUGAGAGGAAGGUCACCCACAUUGUAACGACUAAACUACCCAAACGCCUACGGGGGGCGGCAGUAAUGGGUGUUGGUGAAUGAAGGGAGAUCUGAACCUGCCGAGUCGCGUGCAGGAGGAUGGCCUUUGGGUUUUGAACUGCUUUUACGUGAGAAUAUGUAUCACAUGAAUAAGGACCGGCUAAUUACGUGCCAGCAGCCGCGGUAAUAC